rnacentral:rRNA from 1 species
GAUGAACGCUGGCGGCGUGCCUAAUACAUGCAAGUCGAGCGAACGGACGAGAAGCUUGCUUUUCUGAUGUUAGCGGCGGACGGGUGAGUAACACGUGGAUAACCUACCUAUAAGACUGGGAUAACUUCGGGAAACCGGAGCUAAUACCGGAUAAUAUUUUGAACCGCAUGGUUCAAAAGUGAAAGACGGUCUUGCUGUCACUUAUAGAUGGAUCCGCGCUGCAUUAGCUAGUUGGUAAGGUAACGGCUUACCAAGGCAACGAUGCAUAGCCGACCUGAGAGGGUGAUCGGCCACACUGGAACUGAGACACGGUCCAGACUCCUACGGGAGGCAGCAGUGGGGAAUCUUGCGCAAUGGGCGAAAGCCUGACGGAGCAACGCCGCGUGAGUGAUGAAGGUCUUCGGAUCGUAAAACUCUGUUAUUAGGGAAGAACAUAUGUGUAAGUAACUGUGCACAUCUUGACGGUACCUAAACAGAAAGCCACGGCUAACUACGUG